rnacentral:rRNA from 1 species
CUAAGAAUCUUCCGCAAUGGGCGAAAGCCUGACGGAGCGAUGCCGCGUGAUUGAAGAAGGUAGAGAUAUUGUAAAAAUCUUUUCCAGAUGAGGAAUAAGUGUGGGAGGGAAUGCCCGCAUGAUGACGUUAGUCUGGGAAUAAGCCCCGGCCAAUUACGUGCCAGCAGCCGCGGUAACACGUAAGGGGCGAGCGUUGUUCGGAAUUAUUGGGCGUAAAGCGCGCGCAGGCGGUUUUACAAGUCUGAUGUGAAAGACCUGGGCUUAACUCAGGGGACGCGUUGGAAACUGUGAGACUAGAAUCUUGGAGGGGGAGUUGGAAUUCCUAGUGUAGGGGUGAAAUCUGUUGAUAUUAGGAAGAACACCGGUGGCGAAGGCGAACUCCUGGCCGAAGAUUGACGCU